rnacentral:rRNA from 1 species
GUCUCACAGUUUGAUCCUGGCUCAGAGCGAACGCUGGCGGCAGGCUUAACACAUGCAAGUCGAGCGGGCGUAGCAAUACGUCAGCGGCAGACGGGUGAGUAACGCGUGGGAACGUGCCUUUCGGUUCGGAACAACUCCGGGAAACUGGAGCUAAUACCGGAUACGCCCUUCGGGGGAAAGAUUUAUCGCCGAAAGAUCGGCCCGCGUCUGAUUAGCUUGUUGGUGAGGUAAUGGCUCACCAAGGCGACGAUCAGUAGCUGGUCUGAGAGGAUGAUCAGCCACACUGGGACUGAGACACGGCCCAGACUCC